UCAUGAACAGACCAGAGGCAGAGGGAUUCCUUUACUCAUGAACAGACCAGAGGUUGGGAUUCCUUUACUCAUGAACAGACCAGAGGUUGGGAUUCCUUUACUCAUGAACAGACCAGAGGUUGGGAUUCCUUUACUCAUGAACAGACCAGAGGCAGAGGUUGGGAUUCCUUUACUCAUGAACCGACCAGAGGCAGAGGUUGGGAUUCCUUUACUCAUGAACAGACCAGAGGCAGAGGUUGGGAUUCCUUUACUCAUGAACAGACCAGAGGCAGAGGUUGGGAUUCCUUUACUCAUGAACAGACCAGAGGUUGGGAUUCCUUUACUCAUGAACAGACCAGAGGCAGAGGUUGGGAUUCCUUUACUCAUGAACAGACCAGAGGUAGAGGUUGGGAUUCCUUUACUCAUGAACAGACCAGAGGUUGGGAUUCCUUUACUCAUGAACAGACCAGAGGUUGAGAUUCCUUUACUCAUGAACAGACCAGAGGUUGGGAUUCCUUUACUCAUGAACAGACCAGAGGCAGUGGUUGGGAUUCCUUUACU